UACGUAGGGGGCAAGCGUUAUCCGGAUUUACUGGGUGUAAAGGGAGCGUAGACGGCAUAGCAAGUCCGGAGUGAAAGCCCGGGGCCCAACCCCGGGACUGCUCUGGAAACUGUUAAGCUUGAGUGCGGGAGGGGCAGGCGGAAUUCCUGGUGUAGCGGUGAAAUGCGUAGAUAUCAGGAGGAACACCGGCGGCGAAGGCGGCCUGCUGGACCGUAACUGACGUUGAGGCUCGAAAGCGUGGGGAGCAAACAGG
rnacentral:rRNA from 1 species